AAAGGUUUCCCAGGCAAUGCCAUUCAUCCUGGGGUCAGUCGGGUCCUAAGGCUAAGCCGAGCGGCGAGGCCGAUGGCAGACACGGUCAACAUUCCGUACUACCGCCAUCAGUGAUGUCCUGACGGAGCAGUGACACCUCCGCGCCCUGACGGAAUAGGGCGUUGAAGGGCGUAGGCUAUGAUGAUGCCAGGCAAAUCCGGCAUCAGAGCUGAAACCUGAAAGUACGGGGUCCCCUUCGGGGGAACCUGAGAGCGAGGGUAACCAUACUCCCGAGAAAAUGGGCUAAACUCAUGUUGGCGGUACCCGUACCGCAAACCGACACAGGUAGUUGGGUAGAACAUACUAAGGCGUUGAGAGAUUCAUGGCUAAGGAACUAGGCAAACUGACCCCGUAACUUCGGGAUAAGGGGUCCUCACCUCCGGGUGAGGCGCAGAGAAUAGGUCCAGGCAACUGUUUAACAAAAACACAGGGCUGUGCGAACUCGAAAGAUGAAGUAUACAGCCUGACACCUGCCCGGUGCCGGAAGGUUAAGAGGAGAUGUCACCGCAAGGGAGGCAUUGAAUUGAAGCCCCGGUAAACGGCGGCCGUAACAAUAACGGUCCUAAGGUAGCGAAAUUCCUUGUCGGGUAAGUUCCGACCUGCACGAAUGGUGUAAUGAUCCGGACGCUGUCUCGGCCAUGAGCUCAGUGAAAUUGUAGUAUCGGUGAAGAUGCCGAUUACCCGCGAUGGGACGAAAAGACCCCGUGAACCUUUACUACAGCUUAGCAUUGACCUUGGUCAUCCGAUGUGUAGGAUAGGCCGGAGGCUUCGAAGCGGCGUCGCCAGGCGUUGUGGAGCCAUCCUUGAAAUACGGCCCUUUGGCUGUCUGAGGUCUAACGCGGAUAGUCGCGGACACUGCUUGGUGGGUAGUUUGACUGGGGUGGUCGCCUCCAAAGGCGUAACGGAGGCUUCCAAAGGUGCCCUCGGGCCGUUUGGUAAGCGGCCUUCAAGAGUGCAAUGGCAAAAGGGCGCUUGACUGGGAGGGAGACAUCCCGAGCAGGCAGGAAACUGGGGCAUAGUGAUCCGGCGGAUGUGUAUGGAAACUCCGUCGCUCAAAGGAUAAAAGGUACUCCGGGGAUAACAGGCUGAUCCCCCCCAAGAGCUCAUAUCGACGGGGUGGUUUGGCACCUCGAUGUCGGCUCGUCACAUCCUGGGGCUGGAGAAGGUCCCAAGGGUUGGGCUGUUCGCCCAUUAAAGUGGCACGCGAGCUGGGUUCAGAACGUCGUGAGACAGUUCGGUCUCUAUCUAUCGUGGGCGCAGGAGUUUUGAGUGGUGCUGUCACUAGUACGAGAGGACCGUGACGGACAGACCUCCGGUGUACCGGUUGUGCCGCCAGGCGCACCGCCGGGUAUCCGCGUCUGGAUCGGAUAAGCGCUGAAAGCAUCUAAGUGCGAAGCUUUCCACGAGAUUAGAGCUCCAUUGAGGGUCGUCGCAGACGACGACGUUGAUAGGGCGCAGGUGUAAAGACGGCGACGUCAAAGCCGAGCGCUACUAAUUGCCC
rnacentral:rRNA from 1 species